rnacentral:rRNA from 1 species
UAGGGAAUUUUCGGCAAUGGGCGAAAGCCUGACCGAGCAACGCCGCGUGAGGGAAGAAGGUUUUCGGAUCGUAAACCUCUGUCUUUGGGGAAGAUAAUGACGGUACCCAAGGAGGAAGCCACGGCUAACUACGUGCCAGCAGCCGCGGUAAUACGUAGGUGGCAAGCGUUGUCCGGAAUUACUGGGCGUAAAGGGCGUGUAGGCGGUCUUUUAAGUCAGGCGUGAAAACUAUGGGCUUAACCUAUAGACUGCGUUUGAGACUGAGAGACUUGAGGAUCGGAGAGGGCAGUGGAAUUCCCAGUGUAGCGGUGAAAUGCGUAGAUAUUGGGAGGAACACCAGUGGCGAAGGCGACUGCCUGGACGACACCUGACGCUGAGGCGCGAAAGCUAGGGGAGCAAACGGG